GACGAACGCUGGCGGCGUGCUUAACACAUGCAAGUCGAACGGAAAGGCCCUGCUUUUGUGGGGUGCUCGAGUGGCGAACGGGUGAGUAACACGUGAGUAACCUGCCCUUGACUUUGGGAUAACUUCAGGAAACUGGGGCUAAUACCGGAUAGCAGCUCCUGCUGCAUGGUGGGGGUUGGUAAGUUUCGGCGGUUGGGGAUGGACUCGCGGCUUAUCAGCUUGUUGGUGGGGUAGUGGCUUACCAAGGCUUUGACGGGUAGCCGGCCUGAGAGGGUGACCGGCCACGUUGGGGCUGAGAGACGGGCCAGACUCCUACGGGGGGCAGCAGUGGGGAAUAUUGCACAAUGGGCGGAAGCCUGAUGCGGCAACGCCGCGUGCGGGAUGACGGCCUUCGGGUUGUAAGCCGCUUUCGCCUGUGACGAAGCGUGAGUGACGGUAAUGGGUAAAGAAGCACCGGCUAACUACGUGCCAGCCGCCGCCGUAA
rnacentral:rRNA from 1 species